UGCCAGCAGCCGCGGUAAUACGAAGGGGGCUAGCGUUGUUCGGAAUUACUGGGCGUAAAGCGCACGUAGGCGGAUUGAUCAGUUAGAGGUGAAAUCCCGGGGCUCAACCCCGGAACUGCCUUUAAUACUGUCAGUCUAGAGAUCGAGAGAGGUGAGUGGAAUUCCGAGUGUAGAGGUGAAAUUCGUAGAUAUUCGGAGGAACACCAGUGGCGAAGGCGGCUCACUGGCUCGAUACUGACGCUGAGGUGCGAAAGCGUGGGGAGCAAACAGGAUUAGAUA
rnacentral:rRNA from 1 species